rnacentral:lncRNA from 1 species
CUUGUUGGUGACUUGUGAUCCUGUUGGUGACUUGGUUCUUCAGAUAUGGGUCUCAGAUGACUUUGGGUUUCAGAUGAUUUGUGGUUCCGAGUUCAAGCCGAAACUUUGAUCCUGUGCUCCGAGAUACACAGCCAGCCAGUCUUGUCUGCAUCAUUUGCUUCAUAGCAUGUUUAUUUUCAAAAAAAACUAAUGCAAUAAAAAAA